UACGAAGGAUGCAAGCGUUAUCCGGAUUCAUUGGGUUUAAAGGGAGCGUAGGUGGCCUGGUAAGUCAGUGGUGAAAUCUUCUCGCUUAACGAGAAAACUGCCAUUGAUACUGCUAGGCUUGAGUACAGAUGCCGUUGGCGGAAUAUGACAUGUAGUGGUGAAAUACAUAGAGAUGUCAUAGAACACCGAUUGCGAAGGCAGCUAACGAAACUGUAACUGACACUGAGGCUCGAAAGUGCGGGGAUCAAACAGG
rnacentral:rRNA from 1 species